rnacentral:misc_RNA from 1 species
AAGUCGUAACAAGGUCUCCGUAGGUGAACCUGCGGAGGGAUCAUUAACACGUUUUUUAAACGUUUUUCAACCAAAAAACCGGAAACGAAAAAGUGUUGAAAAGGCAACAAUGGCAUUCAUUUGCCCUGUUUUCUUUUCCCUUUUUUUCUUCUCAACCCUUUUCCAAUCAUAACAAUGAAUUGACCUGUACUAUCAUUCCUCUUGAUUGAGUGAAUGAAAGUUGAUAUCAUAAUUGAGAGCACAACUCUUAGCAACGGAUAUCUUGGUUCUC